AAAGAAAGCCGGGCAGUCGCUGGCAGAUAUGAAUAAUAUUUAUCAGAGGAAAGUCCGGACACCAACGGACAGGAUGGUCGGUAACGCCGACCUGUUGUGAAACAGGGAUAGCGCCACAGAAAACAAACCGCCUGCGGAUGAAACGGCGAAAGUCUGUUUUUAUCCGCGGGUAAGGGUGAAACGGCGAGGUAAGAGCUCACCGCGUUUAUGGUGACAUAAAUGGCACGGCAGGCCCCAUCCGGUGCAAGGCAAACAGCGGUUAGGCGCUGUCCGUCGUAAAACUGCGGGUAUGCUGCAUAGAGAAAUGACUGCCGCCCGUCUGAGGGUACAGAAUCCGGCUUAUAGGCUUUCUUUUUUU
rnacentral:RNase_P_RNA from 1 species